GGACACGCCGCGUGAGUGAGAAGGGUUUCGGCUCGUAAAACUCUGUUGUUAAAGAAGAACAUAUCUGAGAGUAACUGUUCAGGUAUUGACGGUAUUUAACCAGAAAGCCACGGCUAACUACGUGCCAGCAGCCGCGGUAAUACGUAGGUGGCAAGCGUUGUCCGGAUUUAUUGGGCGUAAAGCGAGCGCAGGCGGUUUUUUAAGUCUGAUGUGAAAGCCUUCGGCUCAACCGAAGAAGUGCAUCGGAAACUGGGAAACUUGAGUGCAGAAGAGGACAGUGGAACUCCAUGUGUAGCGGUGAAAUAUG
rnacentral:rRNA from 2 species